GAACCGAUCUGGUAGUAGCCAAGCGAUGGGUGACGCAGGAAGGUAGCUGAGCCAGUCAGUGGUAAUAUGGUGUAAGCGUGUAGGGCGUGACCUAGGCAAAUCCGGGUCACAUACAGCCUGAGACGUGAUGCGUAGCCGAUUGAGGCGAAUUCAGUGAUCCUAUGCUGCCGAGAAAAGCCUCUAGCGAGCUUUCACACGGCCCGUACCCAAACCGACACAGGUGGUCAGUAGAGAAUACUAAGGCGAUCGAGAUAACUGUGGUUAAGGAACUCGGCAAAAUGCCCCGUAACUUCGGGAGAAGGGGGGCCUCGUCUGGUGACGGAACUUGCUUCCUGAGCUGGGUGGGGCCGCAGAGACCAGAGAGAAGCGACUGUUUACUAAAAACACAGGUCCGUGCGAAGUCGUAGACGAUGUAUACGGACUGAAGCCUGCCCGGUGCUGGAAGGUUAAGAGGACCGGUUAGCCAGUAAUGGCGAAGCUGAGAUUUAAGCCCCAGUAAACGGCGGUGGUAACUAUAACCAUCCUAAGGUAGCGAAAUCCUUGUCGGGUAAGUUCCGACCUGCACGAAUGGCGUAACGACUUCUCUGCUGUCUCAACCACAGACUCGGCGAAUUGCAUUACGAGUAAAGAUGCUCGUUACGCGCGGCAGGACGAAAAGACCCCGGGCUUCACUAUAGCUGGUAUUGGUGUUCGGUUCGGUUUGUGUAGGAUAGGUGGGAGACUGUGAAGCGGGCACGCCAGUGUUCGUGGAGUCGUUGUUGAAAUACCACUCUGAUCGUAUUGGACAUCUAACCUCGGACCAUGAUCUGGUUCAGGGACAGUGCUGGUGGGUAGUUUAACUGGGGCGGUUGCCUCCCAAAAUGUAACGGAGGCGCGUUCCUCAAAGCUGGUUGGCAAUCAGGUGUCGAGUGCAAGUGCACAAGGGAGCUUGACUGUGAGACUGACAGGUCGAGCAGGGACGAAAGUCGGGAAUAGUGAUCCGGCACCGGCAAGUGGAAGCGGUGUCGCUCAACGGAUAAAGGACCCGGGGAUAACAGCUGUCUUCCCCAAGAGUCCAUAUCGACGGGAUGGUUUGCACCUCGAUGUCGGCUCGUCGCAUCCUGGGGCUGGAGUAGGUCCCAAGGGUUGGGCUGUUCGCCCAUUAAAGCGGCACGCGAGCUGGGUUUAGAACGUCGUGAGACAGUUCGGUCUCUAUCCGCCGCGCGCGUUAGAAACUUGAGGAAGGCUGUCCCUAGUACGAGAGGACCGGGACGGACGAACCUCUGGUGUGCCAGUUGUUCGCCAGGAGCACUGCUGGUUAGCUACGUUCGGAAGGGAUACCGCUGAAAGCAUCUAAGCGGAAGCCUGUUCCAAGAUGAGUUUCUCACCCCCUCGAGGGGGUAAGGCCCCCGGCAGACCACCGGGUUGAUAGGCCAGAACUGGAAGCACAGUAAUGUGUGGAGGUGACUGGUACUAAUAGGCCGAGGACUUACCACAA
rnacentral:rRNA from 1 species